rnacentral:rRNA from 1 species
AGUGAACGCUGGCGGCAGGCCUAACACAUGCAAGUCGAGCGGCAGCACAGCAGUAGCAAUACUGUGGGUGGCGAGCGGCGGACGGGUGAGGAAUACAUCGGAAUCUACCUUCUUGUGGGGGAUAACGUAGGGAAACUUACGCUAAUACCGCAUGAGACCUGAGGGUGAAAGCGGGGGACCGCAAGGCCUCGCGCGAGAAGAUGAGCCGAUGUCCGAUUAGGUAGUUGGUGAGGUAAAGGCUCACCAAGCCAACGAUCUGUAGCUGGUCUGAGAGGACGGCCAGCCACACUGGAACUGAGACACGGUCCAGACUCCUACGGGAGGCAGCAGUGGGGAAUUUUGGACAAUGGACGCAAGUCUGAUCCAGCCAUUCCGCGUGCAGGACGAAGGCCUUCGGGUUGUAAACUGCUUUUGUACAGAACGAAAAGGUCUCUAUUAAUACUAGGGGGCUCAUGACGGUACUGUAAGAAUAAGCACCGGCUAACUACGUG